GCUCUCAUGAACGAUGACAUAGCCGAUGACUUCGCGUGUGCCAGUGAAAUGCUCAAUAGACACCGCGAUUGGGCCGCGUGGCAACCGUGGUCGGUCCACUGUCUACCUAACAACGACAUCGCUUCCUACAUCACCGACUGCAUCGAGGAUAAGAUCGUGCAGCCGCUAACGUUCACCGACGAUGAUGACAAACCAGAAAUGCCUCAGAGAAUUCGAAUUAGAAAUUAGGCGCGCCUUAGAGGCGCAGCAGCACGAGCAGCGACACGAGUGAUAGAAAGGGUGAUAGGAGUGAGAUAGAGUGAUAGAGUGAGGCGGAGUGAUAGAUGGGAACACGCCCGAGGAAGAUGGGGAGGAGUAGAAGAUCAGUAGGAGCGCAAAAUUAAACAUCUAUGUGUAAUAUAAUAAUAUAUACAUAAUGUAUGAAUGCUCGAAUAUACAUUAUAUUAUACUGUUCAAUAUGAGCCGCAAAAUGAACCACCACCACCACCACCAUCAACAACAAUAACAUCAUCAUCAACACCAACAACAACAACAUCAUCACCACCACCACCACCAACAACAACAACAACAACAACAACAACAACAACACCAACAGCAGCAGCAGCAACAACAGCAACAUUAUCAUCACCAACAACAACAGCAGUAGCAGCAACAACAACAACAACAACAACAACAACAACAACAACAACAGCAGCAGUAGCAACAACAACAACAACAACAACAACAGCAGCAGUAGCAACAACAACAACAACAACAACAACAAAUACAACAGCAACACCACCAACAACAACCACCUCAAGCAGCAACAGAUUCUAGUCCCUGAUUCGUCCAGAGAGCAAAAUAUACACUACGUAAAAGCAGUUCGGUUUACUUCUAUAGUGACGACGUUGACCAAAAUUUAAAGCACCCGACGAAGACGAAAAAUAGCGGCUAUUCGUGUUUACAUGUUAUA